ensembl:lncRNA
CUGUAAGCGCAGCAAGAAUUUUACAAGUACUGCAGUAACCUGAAAGUACAUAGUGACAUAACUUACAAGUAGUUGAGCGGUAGGGGAGGGUUUUGAUUAUCAAUUUAUUGAUUAAAAUCGAUUCUAGCUUGGAUAAUGUGAUAUCGAUUCAUUAAAAUCCUGAAUCGAUUUCCCGAAAAGCCAGAAUCUCAGGUUAAACCUCACAAAAUUUCAACAACCACCAAACAGCUAAAACAGUAAAUGAGAGCAGGUACACGGAUUCUGCACAAAGACGUAAACACAAAGUGCGGACCCGCCGACGGAUCAGAAUCAGUGAGAUGUCGCCUUUCUCACCCGAUGGCACGGACACGGUCGAGGCUGAAAGCCGACAGCUCCCCGACUCUGAUGUUUCGUCGGGUCCGCGCUUUGUGUUUACGUCCUUUUUGCACUGAUUCUAAAGCUGCAGGUUUUAUUUAUCUCCAACCAAAAUUCACUGAACCAGCAGCAAAAGAAGCAGCAAACUACGCUUCACAUUUGAUAUCAUCAUCAUCAUCAUCAUCAUGAAUUCCCUCUUACUUUUCCUGUUUUGCUUCCACCACGAUAAAUAAAAAAAAAAAAAAAAAAAAAAAAAAAAACAAGAAAAAAAAUCAAACCACACUUCAUUCACAGCUCUCUCUCUCUCUCUCUCUCUGUGUAUACUUCAAGAACAGUUUCCCGUCUAAAAAUCAGUUCUCUGCAUUAUUCGCUUGCUUGUUACGCACAAGUCUACCGUUGUUUACAGCGCUGUCGGCAGCUGCUUUUUUUCCCUUUUACUUACUUCCGAAAAGAAAGCCUCAUUUCUGCAGUUCAAUACUGAACAAAUGUAAACUUUAAAUUAUGUAAAACUGCAAAACACUUAGCUGUGUCUCUAAUCAAACCUCUAACUUUGCUCUGCUUCAUGUCAGCAGCAUCAGGUGCUGUUCAUAUGUUGAUUAAUGGUUUUCUUUCGUUUUUGAUCUACUAUAGAAUAUUUGUACAAAAUCCCAG